rnacentral:rRNA from 1 species
CGCGGUGUGGACCAUACGAAGCCGACUCUGCCUGCCAUGAAUCUUUAACGCUAAAAAGGUGUACGUCUUUGGAGUAGAAACCCAAUCAAAUGGUUUUUUAACUCUGUUUGAAAAUUGGGGGAAACCCAGAAAGGUGCCCCCUUCUUCUGUUUUUUCGGCUCUUUUGGGGGGCACUUUAGGGGGACUCCCGGUGACAAACCGGGGGAAGGUGGGGACGAGGUCAAUUCCUCCCCCCCCUUAUUGCCGGGGUUACCCCCGUCUUCCAAGGUCGGUACAAAGGGAAGCCAACCCGCGGGGGGAGCCAAUCCCAUAAACCCGAUCCUAGUCCGGAUUGCAGUCUGCAACUCGAUGCAUGAAGUCGGAAUCGCUAGUAAUCGCGGAUCAGAUGUUCGGGCCUGCU